UACGGGGGGGGGCAAGCGUUGUCCGGAAUUACUGGGCGUAAAGAGCUCGUAGGUGGUUUGUCGCGUUGUCCGUGAAAACUCACAGCUCAACUGUGGGCGUGCGGGCGAUACGGGCAGACUGGAGUACUGCAGGGGAGACUGGAAUUCCUGGUGUAGCGGUGGAAUGCGCAGAUAUCAGGAGGAACACCGGUGGCGAAGGCGGGUCUCUGGGCAGUAACUGACGCUGAGGAGCGAAAGCGUGGGGAGCGAACAGG
rnacentral:rRNA from 1 species